UAUAUUAUUAGGCAAAUUUAAUAUACUUAAAUCAUUAAAAAGAGAAAUGAUUCAAACUAACAAUUUAGCGUUGAAAAAUAACAAACAUUACUUUACUAAGGGUGAAAAAUGUAUUUUUUUUCACGUCAUUGCCAUUUUUGUCGGCAUUCUAAUAUUGAUAGUAAUAUACUUCAUUCAUCUUUGCUUUGUAAAACAUGACCUUUACGACGUUCUUAAAUUUAGACGUUUCAGUUCGGCAGAUGGAAAAGCAGAAUACAUUCCAGUUGGUGCAGUCUUCUUAGAUACAUCCCAACCAAAAUCUGUUUGCAAUUCUUUACUACUUCGCAAGCAAUGGUCUUUAGUGCCGGGGAACUGUGCGGCUAUGCGAAAUGAUCCUGAUUUAUCCAUGAUGCUACCAUAUUGGAGGAUACAAUAUGUCCUGAUGGAAACUAAUAACAUAGGCUAGUUUUUUUUAAUAUAAAAUAUAGUAACCACGGAUAUUAUAAAAAGUUUACCGCAUCCACAUUUUAACAGACAAAAUAUGUACCACAACGUGGGUUUACUUGAACAUGGGACGUGUUUUGACACAGGCUUCGACUUUUUAACAUCCAAUGUUGCAGGAGAAUACAUAAAUAAUAGCAAUACUAUAAAAAAAAACAUAAAAAUUGCAAGUUGGAACUGGAACAAAAAAAAUGCACUGGAUCCUUCAAUAAAAAUUACAACGCUAAAGUUUAUUCCCAAUGAAGUAUGUUAUAAAUUAUGGUCAUUCAUCACAAAUUUUAGGCCAUAUGAAUUUUGUCUAAGCAUUGAAAAUGAAAAGGAGGACAAUUUGUGUUUUGAACAUGGCGCAUUAUUAUUAUUGAAAAACAAAAUUGUGGGUUUCUUCUCGUGGGGCGCAAGAUGUGGAAAUGGAGACCAAUCGCCGGUGAUUGCUGCUAAUAUUCUAAGCUUUAAAGACUGGCUAAAAGAUAUGAUGAAAAUGUAAUAAGUACUUAUUAAUUUUGUAAUUUCUUAAUAUAUACCGACAGAAUCAAAUAUACAAAUUUUUCAUA